rnacentral:rRNA from 1 species
GAUUAACGCUGGCGGCAUGCCUAACACAUGCAAGUCGAGGGGCAGCACAAGGAGCAAUCUGAGGUGGCGACCGGCGCACGGGUGAGUAACACGUAUGCAACCUGCCCCUAUCACUGGGAUAACACACUGAAAAGUGUGCUAAUACCAGAUAACAUAAGCUUUUGGCAUCAUUAGCUUAUCAAAGAAUUUCGGAUAGGGAUGGGCCCGCGUCUGAUUAGCUUGUUGGUGAGGUAACGGCUCACCAAGGCAACGAUCAGUAGCCGACCUGAGAGGGUGAUCGGCCACACUGGAACUGAGACACGGUCCAGACUCCUACGGGAGGCAGCAGUGGGGAAUAUUGCACAAUGGGCGAAAGCCUGAUGCAGCAACGCCGCGUGAGCGAUGAAGG